rnacentral:ncRNA from 1 species
AGAAGGGCCGCGCCUUUGGGUGCCCAUGCAGGGCACGCAAGAGGGAAGCCGGUGGAAAUCCGGCGCGGUCCCGCCACUGUAUGUGGGCAGCCCUGUCGGUCAGGGCCGGGGUCCUCGGCAGUCCCCACUCGAGAGGGUUGUCUCGGGGAAGGGGGAGGACUUCUUCCGGAGAGGCGCAGCGUGCGCCCUCACCCGGAGCCCAUGAGCCAGGAGACCUGCCCAGAGGUCCGGCCGCUC